UCCUCAACCCCGAGUUUUAGGAAAGGUGCAGGGAAAUCUCCUCUAUUACUCCCUGGCCAAGUGCUGGCUGAGUCCUUCAGGCUUGGAGCUCAGAAGUAUGGAGAGCUGUAGGAGAAGUCCCAGGAGCACUGCAGCACAGCCAGGCCCUGCUCGCGAACCACCAUGUGCAGGGUGCUGACGAUGAGGAAAGGCAGAAGCAGAAACCCGCCCAUGGGCCGUGGCACUCAAAAGCAGGCCCCAGCACAUUUGUUGGGUGCUGAGGACCGAGGCAUUCCCAUGGCGCUGUGGGUUUCAUCAGUGUUGGAAGGGGCCAAGAGUGGAGGCAAGUGCAUGGCCUGGGUGCCACCACUGAGGUGAGCAGGCCCCUCACAGGAGCCCGUCCCCAGGAGCUGCGCAGGGAUGGCCGUGUUUAAUGCUCGUAAGAGCAUCGCUGCUGGAGCCGGCUCUGAAAUCGUUGUUGAAACGGCAUGUUUUUUUUUCUUUUGGUAUUUCCUGGCACGGUUUCCACUGCUGUUUACAAGUCGUUUCUUCUGGAACCAUCUGAGCAGCGGGAACACUCAUCUGGGCCUUUUCCAAGGGGAGAUUACUCGAACGACGGUGGAGAGACGUUGUCUCAGCCUGGCUGCCAAAUAAGGAACUCACUUAACCGGGAAGGUCUAAAAAGCAGAGCCCCACGGAUGCUGCUUCUACAAACAGGGAAAUUUAAUUAUAUCUAUAUACAUCGAUGGGCUGCUUGAAUGGUCUCCUGCAGCAGAGACUUAAUGUCUGCCGAAGUGAGCACACGGAUCCCUUGAGUUUGGCCAUCUUGAGCAACAAGAUCUUCUUGUUGGUGGUCUUCUACUGUUCUGCGUGCACCCCAGGAUUCAAGGAAGUGUUACUCAGACCUUUCUGAAAGGUUUGUUUCGUUGUAAAGGCUAACAUCAAAAAUGUCAAGCUCAGAAGCAAAACAUCCCAAACAUAUGCCAGAUUUUCUAUCAGCUGGUGCGGUGAAGCCCAAAGCAUCAACCGCACAUCUCUGCUCGCAGCACGACUGAGUGUCGGUGGGAAACAGGACUUCUCUGAGAAGAAAAUCCAGUCUGUUCUUCGGUGCUCUCUCACCUCGUCCAACCGUGAGCAGCAGCUCAGCCCGACCACGCUGCCGGGGCAGGACGGCUGAGGUUUGCUCGGUUUGGGUCAGUGCGUUCACCCUGUAACCUUGACAGGGAAACAGCUCCCCCAGAAUCGCCAAGUUUGCUAGUAGAUGGACACUUUGUACAUCGGUGGUGUGGUGAGGUUGGUGCCCUGCAACUGGCUUGUUUAGCGCAAUAAAAAUAUAUUGGGUUCCUAAGAUGUUGACCAAUGGGUUUGGGAAACAGAUGAUUGAUUCACACAGCUGAGAAACAGGGAUUGUAAUGUGUUUUGCCAGAGGAGACCAGUUUGACGGAUGAGUUCAUUUAAGGAUUAUGCUAUAGAUAGAGCUGUUGACAGAAUGAAUUUGUUUUUAUUUUUCAUCAGUAGGUAUAACACAAAGCAGAACUAAUUGGAAGUAGUUUCCUUGUGGCAUCUGGUUGUGUUUCUUGCUUUAAGUCUUUCACACGCUGUAAAAUUACACCAAGGGCUUUUCUUCGCUUCGAUUCGCUUUCCAAGAUUUCCAUCGCUGCUUUUCGAACGGGUUCCCAGUGUGUAGAAAUGGCAAGGAGUGCAGACAUUAAGAAAUGGUGAGGAGUGCAGCCAGGCUGUUGUUCCUGCUUAUUGCACAAAUCUUCUGGUGCACGUCACUCACCUACCUCAGCAGACACACUGAGGUGUCCUCACCUCACUGCUGAUGGCAGAGCCGAACCAUGACUGCCCUUCCAGGUAUUUUUGAUGGCAUUUUAAACUGUGACCCAUGCUAAAUAUCAUUCCUGUGCAGAUGGAUCUCUUUCUGCGUAAGGCCCAAACCUGGGAGGUGAUUAUGUUUGCUCUGGGAGGUGCUCUGAGGUUGAAGGAAGGUGUUGAGUUAAGCUCUGGAAAUAGCUUUUCGAGGCAGCCAGAGAACAAACCCUGGUGCUGCUCGGGGGAUUUGGCUGGCCGCACUUGCUCUCCCCGUGGGAUGCCUGUGGCCCCUCUGGCUCGGGACGGGUCCUGGCCCCGCAUGGCCCACCCAGCUGCUGGUGGCCCUCAUGGGAUCUGCUCUGGGAUCUCCCAGCUGAACUCAUGCAGGCUGCUGGCGCGGAAAUCUGGGCUUUGUGGUUCCGACCCAUCUUGCAAAUUUGAUCUGUGGGUUUGGGCUUGGGGUUUUUGUGUGCGUGUGUGUUUGUUUUAUUUUUCCUUUUAGUUUUUCUUUUCCAGUUGUGGUCAAAUAAGAGUUUUCCAGAACCGACUCACACAGGGCCAAAGAACAGGAAUGCAGCAAGCGCAGCUGCGCCUGCCAAACGGGUGGACCAGCAAUUGCAAGGGAGAAAAUAUCCCCAGGAUCCUGCCGCCAAGUCCAAUACCUGAGGAGAAGAGCCCAUGUGAUUUCAGGAUUAUAUUUCAGGCUAAAUUCUAGCCUUCAUUUGGCCCCAGACCUGAACUUUAAGUCCUAGCCAAAACAUAAUCCAGAUUUGAACACCGGCUAUUGGCCUAUCUCAUCUUCUGCUCAUCAUAUGUGCAGUCAUUCAACAGAAGCUGAAAUGUGUUUUCUCUGCCAAGAGCCGUUGGUUUCCAAACAACUACAUCAGCGCAGUGAGUGAUGGAGUUUCCAUCAACUGCUGUCAGCCAAAUUCAGUCAUCUGCAUUCAGGUCUUGGCAGAGACUGCAGGCCAAACCAGCGUGAAGAGGAAUCCUGAAUACUGGGGUCCUGGAGACUGGUCUCCAGCAACAUCAACCCUCAACAUUUUGAAUGUAUUGACUAAAGCAAUGCUGUGAGUUCUGGGGAUGUGCUUGGAGCAUGGAUGAGGCCCUCGCUCCAACAAUGUUCAUUGUCCUGCAGGUUGCUCCGCUGGAGAGUUUGUUGGAGCAGAUGCUACUUCUGACAGCACUGCCUACAGAUAUGUAUCUCAGUGGCAUUAAACUGGGGGGACUAGGGCUGGGUGGGGAGACUGAGAUAUUUUUGCCUUUCAAAAGACAUUGCUGGGAUAGCAGCAGGGUGCUAUAAUAGAACCUGAGGUUAGCUGGUGAGACAUUAGGCAUAGUCAUGCUUGUACAAUCUUGUAGUCUGUAGGAAUAGGGCCAGAUUCCUGUAAGCAGAUGAAUCCUCUGCUGGUACUCACCAUUUCUGAUGGGUUUGGAGACACCAGGAACCACCUGGGCAGAAGCAUGUCGAUACUCAGCCAGUGUGUUUUUGCAUACUGUGUAAAUGCAGUUAUUUGGAACCAAUUCUUACCUUGCAGCCCUUCACUCUCUGGAGAAAGAAAACGACACAACUGUUUAGUCUAAUCCAUAAAAUGAAAAACUGUCUGGGGAACUGAGUGCUACGUAGUGGAGAAAUCCUCUGCUUGUGAACAAGCAGCUUGGUUUGUUGGAGUGGAGACAGGGGCAGGGCCAAGGACUUUCCCACUCCCAUAAAAAACAGUGCAAGAGGCAAUCUAGCACAGGGAGUGAUGCCUGCUCAGGGAGCUGGUUCUUGUGAGCCAGCCACUAUCUUCUUGGGUAGGAAAGCUUGGAAAGAUCUGAAACUGAGUGAAAUCAAACUGAAUGUAGUUUCACGUAUCUACAUUCUCCUACCUGCCUUUUAUCUCCCAGAUGUCAGUUUUCAUCUUAUGUUUGAUACUGGAACAAGGCCACGUCUUUGCUUGUUCAGCAAAGGCUUGCUGAAGCCUUUGCUUCAGCCUCAUGCCUGAAGUGACGGCCUCUCUGAGGAGCUGGCUCUGGUUCGUCAUUACGUUGCUGUUUAUUUAGCCAUUCAGACCAAGAUUCCUACCUAAUUGCACAGUGCAAAUGUCUCAAGUUGGUGUAAAGGAGUGUCUGGAGUUGCCCAGCAUUAUGUCUGCUCAGCUUCCUAGGGCCUGCUCUUCUCAGUGAAAGAAUUGGUAGGCAGAGCUUCAGGGGCCUUCCACCGCACUGGCCUGUUCCUAUGCCAUCGGGUGGGAUGGCACAAAAAGACAAUCCAAAUCCAGAAACUGGCCACAACAGUGAGCGCGAAGAUGGGUGUACCGCAUAAAUUCACUGGGAGGGAAUGGGAUGGAAGGAAAAGCUGAAAAUGACCCUUUCUCAGAUAGUAAAAUGUAACCUCUAGUCCUUUCACCCGACAGCCUGUGAUCAGCAGAGACACCAAAUUCCCCCCUCCUAUACCUGCUGCAGCCACUUUUCAUGGGGUGGAAAGCCCCAUUAGCUCAGACCUACCAGUGCCAUUUGGCAGCUGUGGUGAUUUACAGCAGAAAAGACUCAUUGUCUGCAACUGUCAAGGCAGGUUCUCCAACUUAAUUUGAAAUACUUUUACUCCUCCAGAUGAUUUACUACUCAAGCACAAGGUAGUCAUUUUACCUCUGUGUUCUUCCCCCUUUGCCCGUGACAGAUUGGAUCCCACGCACGGUCCCCUUCCAGAGCCCUGGUGUCAAGUGGGUGAGAUGAAAGCCACCCCAUUUUUCAUGAGCCCUUGUGAGCGGCUCGUAAGCAGAUGACUGCGUAGCCAAUUGCCGUGUCCAUUUUGCAGGCACCUCCAGCAUUUUAUGCGGUGUCUGAAUCUCAGCAGGCACCUCACGCCCGCUAAUGGCUUUGCUAGUCAGCCAAUCAAUUGGUUAUUUACGGCAGGCAUGUCUCAGAAUUGUCGGGUCAAGUUUUCCUACCCUUAUGUAUUUUGUUCAGAGGAGUGCAUAAAUCCUCUCCUGCCUUUUGCGGCUUAAACCUUCUGAGUGUGAAACCAGUGGGUUACAGAUUCCAGCAAGAGUAGUGAACUGUAUUUUAAAGUUGUUGUUCUCCUGGCUCUUAGGGACUUGGGCGCUUUGGCUGAGUCAUGAAUCAGGUCACCCUGGAAGAUUUAUAGGCAUUAAGCUCUCUUCUUGGUAUCCUUUAGCUCCAGAGUCUGAAGUCGUAACCAUGGCAAUUGAGACCUCUCCUCUGUCCCGGUGUUUUUUCUAUUUAAGGUGCUCUUCUGAAAAGUCAUGGUGACAUCUUAAUUGGGCGCUCUGAAGUGGGGUACAAGAAAGGAUGCAGUAUCCCUUUACUUGCAGAGUUUGAUCCUGCUGCUCCAAACUUCUUAAGCCCACACAUGGGAUGAUGCAGCACUUGUGUAAAGUGAACUCUGGAUCUCAUUAUUGAGCCUGUAAAGACCAUAAUGCCCCAGUUAUUUGCAGCUGCAUAUGUCUAGGUGCUGCAGCAAUAUGAUUCAAAGUUAACCAGAAGACUUCCCAGUCUUGAAGAUCUAAAUGCUAGCCACCAAGGUACAACUAUUUAAAGCAGCACCUACGCUGCACUAAGGGUGUUUAAAUCAUUCAGAAAGCAUGGGGUAAUUCCUGGGCACACCAUUUGUAAGUGUAAGAGACAGGAUCACACUCAGCUUUCUGUUCAGUCUGUAGCAGUAGGUUUUCAACAUAUGCACAUGUAUAGAAGUGAAAAACGUCUAUUGUAAAAUCAAAUGAGGGAAAUUAAAACAAAUCCAGUUUCCCAAGCCAUGAACACUGUGUUACACGUCAGUGGCUUGAACAAUAAAUUGCUUACCAAAGGGAACUAGCUGUAAUGACAGAAAGUGGAGGUUUUGUUUGGUCUCAUGUCAGAAAACAAGUCUUUUCCCCAUCAGGAUAUAAGCAAAUUUGUAACUGAUAAUAGUGCAAAUGUGCCUUGAGCUUUCAACAUUUCUAGAAUUUGGAAACUUCAAGUGGCCUUGUCCCCAACAUGUAAAACUAAUUCAUCUGAUGAUAAAAAAUAUCUGACUAUGAAAUUUGGACUGAUCCACAAAACUCCCUGUAGAAAAAAACAGGGACUCCUCUCUAUGUGUGGCUGGGAGCCUGUGCAGAACAGUAUGUUAUUUGUCUUCUUCCUUUUGCCAGAGGUCCCAGAAGUGCCUGGGCCUGCUGAGCAGCGAUGAGCCUGUUGUAAAGGUCCAUGCUCUGAAAAUGACGAAAGUCCACAUUCUUCGUGGUGUUGUCCGGGACUUCUGCUGACCAGAGGACAGAUUUCCACCUAAGAUGACUCAGUAUUUACAAGGUAUUGGCAUUCCUCUGUUUACAAAUGGAGAGCACUUAAACUAGCAAGUAUGGGCAUUUGAGAGCACAAACUGAAACUAACGAGAAGAUAUAAACACCAAAGUGUUAACCCAUGAGUGACCUCUGAAAACAGCUGCAUGGGGAAUGUGGAGCUUAACAAAAAUCUUCCUGUGGGACUCACAUAGGUGAUUUGAUGAGCAUUUGCAAAGACGAACUGGUCCUUGUUAGAGGGUGGCAAUGCGCAGACGUGCACACAUUUAUAACUCCUUAAUGAAAGUCGAGGCAGGCAACUGGAGAGGCUCUGAAGAACGGAGGCUCCUUGGCUGUGAUGUUGUGUUAUCAGCUCCGCGGCUGUGCGGGGAACAGCACUGUGUGUGGUGGAAGUUUUUAAAAUGAUUUUCAUCAGCAUGAUUAAAUACUUAUUACAUGAGUCAGCCAUACGGGCUUCAUUAAACCAGUGAACUCGGAGGAGCCUCCUCAUCUGUUUAUGAAAGCCAUCUGGAAUUCCGGAUCGCUCAAAAGAAAUAGGAUGGAUGUAGCGCAGUGUGACAGAAGCUGAGCUCCCCUCGCAGAAGCUGCACGAACCCGUCGUGCACUCCUCUCCCCGCACUUGGGCAAGGGGGCUUUAGUUUUUCUUUCUGCACAUUUCUGGGCAAGGAAUCAAGAUCUGACAUGAUUUUGACAGCGAGACUUUAAAUAUACUCUGUCAGAGUGUGACACAGGCACCUUUUUCUGGUGGCAGGAUAUAACACAGCUUUAAAAAAAAAAUAGACGCAAGCUUUUGCAGGGGAGAGAAGUGUACCUUGAAAGGAAGGGCUUAAUGAACUUUAACCAGCCUUCCAAGAUCUUUAUUAGUUGCCCCUUUAUCAAAUUAAAUUCACACUGUGCUAGGCAGCUUAAGUACUGCAAGCUGAUGCCAUGUGCUAAGUGCCAAAGUAGGCUUUAAUUGGCUGUUUAAAUGAGAAGCGGGGCCCUGCUGCGCAGCACAUGCACGUGCACACGCAUGUGGCGGCGGGGCAGCCCCAAAGGAGCCUGGCUCACAUCCUUGCCCCACUGGAGCAGCAAAAGGAGGCACCAGAUUUCUCUUGCACUGGGAUGGGGGGAUCUCACUGGGGGCUCUGUUCCUCACUGACCACAGGAAAAUUCACCUGAGGGUCCCCGCACUCCGUGCCCACAGUUGAGAGCUGGUGUGGUGGAGAAGAGGUUGGGGCGGGAUGCUGGAGGUGGAGAUGUCGCCCGCGGAUUUCUCCAGAGCACAAGCUCUGGAGCAGCAAGGUCAGGAAACCUGCUGGUGAACAUGGCAAGGCUCUCAUAAAGAUUUUUUAUAUUGGUCACAGCUCGGUUUCGUAGAUCACAAAUUAGUCACAGAUGUCAACACGAGUAUCCAGAGCAGUAAAGGUCAGGCGAAGAUGAGCGGGUCGCUCGUCCUUCAGAAGCAUUCUGAUCUGAAAAAUACAUGACAGGGGCACCAGCGGUGACCGCAGAGCGGAGGUGGCAGAGAGCUCUGCUGCUAGGAUUGGACCCUCAGCCCUGGCCGCCUGGGAGGGGCAGGCAGGGGCCCCACUGGGAUGACCCGAGUGAGACCGCAUGCAGCGAUCAUCUGCCCAGCUCCCCGCUCUGACCCUUAGCAAGAGGAAUAACAACCGCAUCGCAGCGGUGUCUGUCGUUAUGAGGGUGGAAGCGGUGCUGGAACUUGCUGCAUUUGCGCAGUUGCUUUCUGUUAACACACGGCCUUAAAAAAUGCGAUUGGAGAAGCUUGUUAGAGAGCUAGUGUUAACAUCUAGUCCCAGUGCAACUAGGCCUGCCUGGGCUGCAGGCCACCCAUGCGCCCCACUCUCCCCGUGCAGCUGCAUCCUCCCAGCCCUCUCAUCUUCCUUGCCCCCCAGCACCAAUGCUCAGCCUUUGAGUUCUCCCCACACACCUGCAGCCAUGGGGCCGGGCAGCCACGGCAGCGAGCCCUCAGCUUGCUUUCCACAAGACCCCAGACCAGUGGGGCAAAGGCUUUUGAGCAUCCCUGUGCUCCUGGGCAGCGGCAGCAUCACGGACCACAAAACUUUUUUUUCUUAUUGUUUUUCCCCUUUCUCUUUUGUGAAGCAAAAAGUAUUCGUCCACUGCCAAGAAGGCUUGAGGCAGGUCUGUCAUGGGCCCUUCCUCUGGCUCCCUGUCCCUGCUGCCAGCCCUUCUCUUGCCUCCUGGCCCUUCGCAUGCCCCCUCCCUAAUCCCUUUCCUGCUCCUGGCUUCUCCCUUUCUCUCCCCUGCUGGCGGGUGAGCAACCCACUCCCCCCAUUACGCCGGCCGCUUCAGGGAACGCCUGUCUCCUCUCUGCAGCUCGCAGCUGGUUUUAUCUGCCCCCAGGGGAUGGUUUUCAUACGGCACCAGGCAGCGUGGAGGUGCGGAGGCUUCCGGCCCUCGCACUAUCCCGCGUUCCAGCAUUAAAGAUAAUGGGUACAAUGGAAAAUCAAUGGAGAAUAUGUAACUUUAUCCCAUUCAUAGCUUCAUAUUGCAUUACGCUGCGGCCUUCAGAUACAUAAAAGUGAUAUACGGCUGAACUUGGCAGAAAAAGAGAACACAGGAAGCAAAUAUCUUUGGUAAGGAUCGCAGUCUACGUAUAACCAAAGUAGCAAAUAGGCCUGAAUAUCUUCUGUUUUUUUUUUGUGAAAUUUCUCUGCAUAAUUAUUCCAGUAAUUUGUGAGAGUGUAAAAAAUAAAUCAAGGCUUUGUGCAUAUUACAGAUUUCCCUUGAGUGAGAUAAAAGGGAGAGGGAAAGAAAGAAAAUGACUGCUUGACUUUCCAGCCUCAGCCAGAUGCCAAAUCUGUCAGAAAUACUGCUUUUUUGUAUUAUAUCAGUGGAGGAAAUUAUUGCUGCUAUUAUCUGCCCUUUGGUCAGAAGCAUAUUCUGCACCUUGGCUAAUGUGCCUUUGCGGUGCAGCCACCUGCACUUUUUCGAGGAGUUCAUCUAAUUACAGGGUAGAUGAGUCAGGCUGCAUUUCCUAUGGGCUGUCUUCAAGCAUAGGAAGUUAUUAAUACCGAUUAGCUGAAAAAGUCCAGGUCUUCACCACGACGUUUCCUGGCUAAUAUUAGGCACACCUUUUAUACUUUAAGGUGUGAUGGCUGAUAAGAACCAGUGGUGCUCCGGCUGGGGUUUUACAGGGGUGGGUGCGGCGCGGGACAGGCUGUCCCAGGAGGUUUUUUUUCCUACACCUUUGAAUGAAUCCUAGCAGACAGGCUGGAACGAGACAGGAGAACUGAAAGUCGAGAGUGCGAGUCUCUUAGGAGAUGGUAGGAGAGCAGCACCGCGGUGCCUGGAAGCAGAAGAGAGGUAUUGUGAAAUCUUCCCUUCAACAGAAAGAAAUAUGUCCCCAAAGGAGAGCUGAGAGUUCCUAGGAAAUGCUGCCGUAAGGCUUAAGCUCCUUGUUCUGGAUGAAGUUUAAAGGAGACUCAGCUAUUUAAUGGGAAUUCAACAGCCGUGGCACAGAGCUAACAACAGGCACCGCAGAGCCCUGCUGGGGCAGGGGGCCCGCUGUCACCACCGCAGCUUUUGGGUCUGGACAUGCAGUGGGACACAGGGGGUCUCUGUGGGACUGAACCAGGCAAGACAGAUGGGGACGUUUUCAGGUUUUCCAAUUUGCAAACACAUGCUGGGCUGCUUACCCUUGCUCGUCCUGUCUUAGCAGACCCCAGGGCUGGGGGCCACUGGGGGUGCCUCAACUUCGUGCUUGGGUUGUGGUGGUUCCCACAUCUCCUGUGCUAACCUGAGCCCCUCUACU